rnacentral:rRNA from 1 species
AGAGUUUGAUCAUGGCUCAGGAUGAACGCUGGCGGCGUGCCUUAGGCAUGCAAGUCGAACGAAGCAGCUUCGGCUGCUUAGUGGCGAACGGGUGAGUAACGCGUAGGAAUCUACCCUAAAGUGGGGAAUAACCCCGCGAAAGCGGGGCUAAUACCGCAUGUGGUUGAAAGACCAAAGGACAUAACUGUCCGCUUUAGGAGGAGCCUGCGUCCUAUCAGCUUGUUGGUGAGGUAAUGGCUUACCAAGGCUAUGACAGGUAGGGGGCGUGAGAGCGCGAUCCCCCACAAGGUCACUGAGACACGGGGCCUACACCUACGGGUGGCAGCAACCGGGAAUAUUGCGCAAUGGGCGAAAGCCUGACGCAGCGACGCCGCGUGAAGGAUGAAGGCCUUCGGGUUGUAAACUUCUUUUAUGAGGGAAUAAGUUCUGAAGGUACCUCAUGAAUAAGCACCUGCUAACUACGUGCCAGAAGCCUCGGUAAUACGUAGGGUGCGAGCGUUAUCCGGAUUUAUUGGGCGUAAAGGGUUUCGUAGGCGACUCAGUACAUCUUACCUUAAGACUGGGGCU